rnacentral:lncRNA from 1 species
CCCCCAAAGACCUCACAGACCGUCUCUCUCACCCUCCAUCGUCUUUGCCGCCGGAAAUUGCCCCACGACGGCGGGCAGACCCCAAACGACCCCACAAUCCCCACCUCCUUCUCAUUACAUAUCGCUUUGUUAUUUCCUUAAAAACCCUCCAGAAUCUCUCAAUUACUGGAUCUAAGAAAUUCUAAAAACCUAAAUCCACCCCUUUUUAUUUUUUCUCAAAUCCUGGCGUGUUUGGGCUUAAAACCAACACCAAUCGACUUCUCUCAUUGAGUUUUACAAAUUGGCAUUAUUUUGUCUCGUUUCAAGAUCGCCGGCUACCGGUCAACUCACUAUUGACAGGCCAGAAUUUCUGAAAUUCCUCUGUGGUUGAUCUUUUUGGUUGAAUUAUGGCUAACAUCAUCGCAUACAUCAUUAGUUACGCCCUCAAGCGUAAGCCAGUGCUCGUGUGGCGAUGUCGGCUAUCGUCCAGAAUUCUUUUCUCUUCAGCCAACAGUGCUUCACAUAGUAAUCAUCUACUUCUUUUCUUCCUUCCUUGAAGUUGCUAAUUCUAUGUCUUAGUUAUUAAUUAUUAGUUCAUUUUCAAUUUUGGUUUGACAACAUACAUAGGUUAAUUAUUAAUCACUAAUAAAUUUAUUUUAACUUUGUAAGUAGUUAUUUGCUUAAUCUGAAGUUUAGAUAGUUUUGGUCUUAAAUGGCAUAUCUGUUUAAUCAAUACGUUAAUUAGCUUGUGAUUCCUGAUGAGUUAUGUUUGUUAGGCUUUGUUAGUUUAAGUUUAGUUAAUUCUUUAUUUAAUGCUGUUAAGAGAAGGAAGGCAGUAAUUUUGGUUAGAAGAUAGUAAGUGUUGAGGUUAAAGGAAAAGGUUAAAAGAAGGGUUAUUAACUAAAACUUGAUGGGUCUAAAAGAAAUAGAAAACUUGGAGAAUCUUGGGUGUAACUGACUUGGAAUCUUCUAGAAUAGGGCAGUAAGGGUUGGAAAGCAAUAAAACAGUAAAAAUUAGGUCAAAAAUGGACUUAAGGGUUAAAAUACAAAAAGUAAAAGGGGCUGCAAAGAAAGAGAGAUAACAUAAUACAACUGUGGGAAUAUUCUAUAUAACAGACUCUCUGACAUUCUGCAGCCUCACGCAAUUCACUCCCUAUUUUUUUCGUUUUACUCUCAUGCUCAUCUGCAGACAUCUUUCACCAAUUUCUCUCAUAUUCACUCUCCCUUCACUUAUUCAUACAAAAUUCACUCAUUCACCUCAUCAUACUCAGAAACGCACACUCGUUUACAUACACUUAGAGACCUCUAAAAACAGAUUUGAAAAAUACAAAAGCAGUGAAGUUUUAGGUCGAUUUAUAUACUCAAAAACAUUUGGUUUGUGUUUGUUGAUUAGAAGAGAUCUCCUACAUGUGUAUCCUGGGUUUCAAGCUGUUUAAUUAGUAAUUGAAGUUGUCUUCUACUGUUUCUCUGUCAAUUAGUAGCCGAGCUUCAGUUUGUAGCUGCUCUCUGCCUUUAUUUGGCUAUUUUAAUAUGUAUUUGCUGAUGUCGAUUGCUGAAACUUUGCUGAUCUCUGUUCAAGUUUGUUUUUGGCCUUUGUUUGGUCUUUUCCUAGUGCUCUAUAGCCCUGAAUUGGUAAGUCCAAACACUCAUGAAUUCAUGUCUUCCCUUGAAUGAAAAGCUUUUGAUUUUUAUGAAAUUUUGGAUUGAUCUAUUGAAUUCUCAUGUGAGCAUAACAACACGAACUGAUUUGCAUUCAUUGUUUGCUAUAUAACGUGAGAAAUAGACAUAAAAGUAGAUUGUGAAACUAUGCUCUGUUAAUCUCUGUACUGAUUCUCUUAUCUCAUAAUUUGAUUAAACAUGAAUUCUAGACUCGACACAUUUAUUAUAUUUCGUUCUAGUGAUUUUCUGUAGUAAUUCAUAACGAGAAAAGACCACUGUUGCAGCAGAUAUGGCGGUCGUUCAUGGAUUUGGCCAUUAAUUGGUCAAAUUUGUAAACCUCAAAGUCAAAAUAUUUUUUCAGAAGUGUUUGGAGCCAUUGUAUUUCUCAAAUAGAAGUAUAAAUUUUCAUGUUGGGACUAUAAUAUGAUUUUUGGGCAUGAGUAUAUUAUAUUAUGUAACAUAGUUAAAGUAGAUGUUGAAAUCUGCUCAAUUCAGGACGUGAGCACAAGCAUAAAUGUAAGGAUAAUUAUUGUAGUUGAUUUUUAUUAUGUUUGGAACUAGCGUUAAAUUCUUUCAAUUUAGAAUAACAGCUGUUUAAAACCAGUUGCUAUAACUGUAAUAAGAGUAAUGUUUCAACUCUAUUAGGGCUAUGGGCCUGAGGUUAAGAGAUCUGGAGCCCAAUAUGGGUUGUGACAAUUCACUGGUGUAAAGGGACUGGGUGGGCCUGCCACUAUUCAGGCGCAAGCCUAAGGUCACAUGGGACGGAGGCUUCAUUAAAGCCUACUUCAUUAUUUAUCCUAGCACACCAAUACUAGUAAUUUUAAAUACUGUAACUUUGCUAUUAUGUGUUUUCCUUUGGAUUUGAACACACUUGCUUGAAAUUAUCUCAUCGUC